rnacentral:rRNA from 1 species
UACGGAGGGGGCUAGCGUUAUUCGGAAUUACUGGGCGUAAAGCGCACGUAGGCGGCUUUGUAAGUCAGAGGUGAAAGCCUGGAGCUCAACUCCAGAACUGCCUUUGAGACUGCAUCGCUUGAAUCCAGGAGAGGUGAGUGGAAUUCCGAGUGUAGAGGUGAAAUUCGUAGAUAUUCGGAAGAACACCAGUGGCGAAGGCGGCUCACUGGCCCGGUACUGACGCUGAGGUGCGAAAGCGUGGGGAGCGAACAGG